UACGUAGGGUGCGAGCGUUAAUCGGAAUUACUGGGCGUAAAGCGUGCGCAGGCGGUUUGUUAAGCCAGAUGUGAAAGCCCCGGGCUCAACCUGGGAACUGCGUUUGGUACCGGCAAGCUAGAGUACGGCAGAGGGGGGUGGAAUUCCACGUGUAGCAGUGAAAUGCGUAGAGAUGUGGAGGAACACCGAUGGCGAAGGCAGCCCCCUGGGCCGAUACUGACGCUCAGGCACGAAAGCGUGGGGAGCAAACAGG
rnacentral:rRNA from 1 species